rnacentral:rRNA from 1 species
GAAUCCGGUUGAUCCUGCCGGACCUGACUGCUAUCGGAUUGAUACUAAGCCAUGCGAGUCUUUGCAGUAAUGCAAGGCAUACGGCUCAGUAACACGUAGUCAACUUACCCUAUGGACGAGGAUAAUCUCGGGAAACUGAGCAUAAUACUCGAUAGAUCAUAAUGCCUGGAAUGGUUUAUGGUUGAAAUGAUUCGUCGCCAUAGGAUGGGACUGCGGCCUAUCAGCUUGUUGGUGAGGUAAUGGCCCACCAAGGCGAUUACAGGUACGGGCUCUGA